rnacentral:rRNA from 1 species
AAAACUUUGCAAUACACGAAAGUGUGACAGGGUCAUCCCGAGUGCCGACCGCUGAGGUUGGCUUUUACCCAGUCUAGAAAGCUGGGGGAAUAAGGAGAGGGCAAGUCUGGUGUCAGCCGCCGCGGUAAUACCAGCUCUCCGAGUGGUGUGGACGUUUAUUGGGCCUAAAGCAUCCGUAGCUGGCUGAACAAGUCCCCUGUUAAACCCACCGAUUUAAUCGUUGGUCUGCGGGGGAUACUGCUCGGCUAGGGGACGAGAGAGGCAGACGGUAUUCCCGGGGUAGGGGUGAAAUCCUAUAAUCCCGAGAAGACCACCAGUGGCGAAGGCUGUCUGCUAGAACGCGCCCGACGGUGAGGGAUGAAAGCUGGGGGAGCGAACCGGAUUAGA